rnacentral:rRNA from 1 species
CGCUAUCACUCCUACGGGAGGCAGCAGUAGGGAAUCUUCCACAAUGGGCGCAAGCCUGAUGGAGCAACACCGCGUGAGUGAAGAAGGGUUUCGGCUCGUAAAGCUCUGUUGUUAAAGAAGAACACGUAUGAGAGUAACUGUUCAUACGUUGACGGUAUUUAACCAGAAAGUCACGGCUAACUACGUGCCAGCAGCCGCGGUAAUACGUAGGUGGCAAGCGUUAUCCGGAUUUAUUGGGCGUAAAGAGAGUGCAGGCGGUUUUCUAAGUCUGAUGUGAAAGCCUUCGGCUUAACCGGAGAAGUGCAUCGGAAACUGGAUAACUUGAGUGCAGAAGAGGGUAGUGGAACUCCAUGUGUAGCGGUGGAAUGCGUAGAUAUAUGGAAGAACACCAGUGGCGAAGGCGGCUACCUGGUCUGCAACUGACGCUGAGACUCGAAAGCAUGGGUAGCGAACAGGAUUAGAUACCCUGGUAG